AAAUGAACGUUGAAAAGAAGAGUAAUUAUUCUGAACUUUAAGAGAAGCUUUGGUUGGUGAAAAAAGCUACGAAGGUAUAAUGAAGAUGGUCUUGGAGUUUCACCUUAAGUAAGUAAGAGGUGAGGGAUACGCCCUUUAUAGCGUUGCGUCUUGAUAGAGCUUAAAUAGGCUAAUUUUAAUUAGUGAAAAAAGGUUGGUACCACGAUAUAUUCGUCCUUUGU
rnacentral:ncRNA from 1 species